AGUUGCCAAGUGACAUGAUAUUCGCGUGUAAUACACGCUUUUUCAACGGUUUACACGCGAGGAUUUUUUCACAUGGCGUGUACACGCUUUUCACCACUUUACACGCAAUUACACGCUUUUUCGUUGUUUUUAUUUUUUGGUCGUUAGUGAUAUCGCGAUUCUUAGGUUUUUCCAUUAUUAGACGAUAAAUACCGAGAGUUCUGAAGUAAUUGUUUGGUCGCCAUUGUUUUUAAAUUCUAUCAUGAUGGACGAACAGCAAAACCCCUUAAGUUUCAAAUCUGGCCAACCGAUUUCAACAGGUCAUAGGAGAUGGAAAUAUCACUGAACUGUUGGAUCAGUUCUCACAGUACCAGCUGUCUUCUGAUGAACUACACAGUCUUGACCAGCCAAUAGCAACAUAUAUAGUUUGUUGGAAGCAAAGGCAGUGAUUAAAGUUGACAUUUUAGAUGGCAAAAACAAUUGUUAUGAAACUUGUUCAAAGCUUGAUCAAGCUAUUUUAGUUCAGCCAAAUACCAAUUCUGACUGUGAGAGAGCAUUUUCAGUUAUAAAUAAAUUUACACUGAAUUCUGAUCAGAACUUGACAAUUGUGCCUUGUUAUCAAGUAAAUGUAACCAAACUGGCAGUUGUUUUGAAUAUAUAUGUGCCUAGUGCUGUUGCUUCAAAAGCAACAGUUGAAUUCAAUAAAAGUUUACAGUA